rfam:Bosea sp. RAC05, complete genome.
CGCUGGUCCUCCAAAGACCAGCACCGAAGAGGCUUGUCCUUCAUUGCCGGGCGUGCGGGGUCUCCCCAAGCGACGGUUACCAGGGUCCGGACGUUUCGUUCGGUGAUGUGCGGCGUUUCCAACGCGUCGCGGAUCGCUCGACCGACUC